AUCGCUUCUCGGCCUUUUGGCUAAGAUCAAGUGUAGGAAAGGAGAGGACCCGAGAAAAAUAUAAAUGUGUUUGAAACGGAGCUUGAUAGACGAAAUGUCAUUUUCAUGCAAAUUUUCAAAACUGCUUUUAAAGUAAAACAUGCCAGGCUUAUUAAAUCAUUUGCACCAUAG
ensembl:snRNA LOC120098416 U2 spliceosomal RNA